GGGGUAUGAGUGCACCGAGAGGAAACCCAUGCCAUCACAGGGAGAUGGUGCAAACCACACAGGCAAUACCUGAAAUCAGGGUCAAGCUGGGGUCUCUGGCGCUGUG